GAUGAACGCUAGCGGCAGGCCUAAUACGUGCAAGUCGGACGGGAUUCUGGGGCUUGCUUCUCAUGAGAGUUGCGCACGGGUGCGUAACACGUAUGUAACCUACCUUUAUCAGGGGGAUAGCCUCUCGAAAGAGAGAUUAAGCCCGCAUAAAAUCUCAGCACAGCAUUGUGUAAUGAUCAAAUAUUUAUAGGAUAAAGAUGGGCAUGCGUAACAUUAGCUAGAUGGCGGGGUAACGGCACACCAUGGCGACGAUGUUUAGGGGAUCUGAGAGGAUGGCCCCCCAGACUGGUACUGAGACCCGGACCACACUCGUACGGGAGGGAGCAGUAAGGAAUACUGGUCACUGGGCGGAAGCCUGAACCAGCCAUGCCGCGUGCAGGAAGCCGGCGAUCCGGGUUGUAAACUGCUUUUAUACGGGAAUAAUCUCAGAUACGUGUAUCUGGCUGACUGUACUGUAAGAAUAAGAAACGGCUAACUCCGUG
rnacentral:rRNA from 1 species